rnacentral:tRNA from 1 species
AGGGCUAUAGCUCAGUUAGCUAGAGUUACACGCGCGUCUACCGAGAAAGUCUGCGGUUCGAAUCCGCAUAGCCCUA